UUUUUAAUAUGUACAAAAUUUUGCUCAACUCAAUAUUUAAAAUAGCACAAGAAAUUUCCAAAUAAACAAAUAAUAAAAAUAAUAAUAAUACAGCAAGAAGGAUAAGGGGGGAAAAUGAAAGAAAGAAAGAAACUGGUGUUGCUGUGAUGCUUCUUCUCAUUCUUCUUCUGAUUGUGAUUGUUCUUGAACACAAAUGCUCUUUAUUUUACUUAUCUGAUUAAUUGAAAAGCUCUACUUUUUUAUUCUCUUGAGUUGAGGCAAACACCAUACCGAGUUUCUCUUCCUCGUUAACGCCGCCGGGCGCUGCCACCACUUCCGUGGUUUCUUCCACCACUUCAUGGCCGUAACCACCCUUUUCACCGUCUUGCCAGAACGCCUCUUGAGAUCCAUUUUCACUUUUCAAACCAAAUUUGCUUAGUUUUGGAUUUUCCCUAUACUUUUAAGCUUUUUAAAAAGAGUAGGUAAUUCCAAAUUACGUAUUUUAGAAAUCUUAAAAAAUCAAAGGCCAACACGUAGUGAACAGGUGUCGACAAAUUUUCACUCAAUAGCUACGUGGGUUAUAUAAAAUCCUAAGCGACGUGUAAAUUUGGGU
rnacentral:lncRNA from 1 species